GAUGAACGCUGGCGGCGUGCCUAAUACAUGCAAGUCGAGCGAACAGACGAGGAGCUUGCUCCUCUGACGUUAGCGGCGGACGGGUGAGUAACAUGUGGAUAACCUACCUAUAAGACUGGGAUAACUUCGGGAAACCGGAGCUAAUACCGGAUAAUAUAUUGAACCGCAUGGUUCAAUAGUGAAAGACGGUUUUGCUGUCACUUAUAGAUGGAUCCGCGCCGCAUUAGCUAGUUGGUAAGGUAACGGCUUACCAAGGCAACGAUGCGUAGCCGACCUGAGAGGGUGAUCGGCCACACUGGAACUGAGACACGGUCCAGACUCCUACGGGAGGCAGCAGUAGGGAAUCUUCCGCAAUGGGCGAAAGCCUGACGGAGCAACGCCGCGUGAGUGAUGAAGGUCUUCGGAUCGUAAAACUCUGUUAUCAGGGAAGAACAAAUGUGUAAGUAACUAUGCACGUCUUGACGGUACCUAAUCAGAAAGCCACGGCUAACUACGUG
rnacentral:rRNA from 1 species